UCCUACGGGAGGCAGCAGUGGGGAAUAUUGCACAAUGGGCGAAAGCCUGAUGCAGCAACGCCGCGUGAGCGAAGAAGGUCUUCGGAUCGUAAAGCUCUGUCCUAUGGGAAGAACACAAUGACGGUACCAUAGGAGGAAGCCCCGGCUAACUACGUGCCAGCAGCCGCGGUAAUACGUAGGGGGCAAGCGUUAUCCGGAAUCACUGGGCGUAAAGGGUGCGUAGGCGGUUUCUCAAGCCAGAAGUGAAAGGCAAUGGCUCAACCAUUGUAAGCUUUUGGAACUGAGAGACUUGAGUGCAGGAGAGGAAAGUGGAAUUCCUAGUGUAGAGGUGAAAUUCGUAGAUAUCAGGAGGAACACCAGUGGCGAAGGCGACUUUCUGGACUGUAACCGACGCUGAGGCACGAAAGUGUGGGGAGCGAACAGGAUUAGAUACCCUGGUAGUCCACACCGUAAACGAUGAAUACUAGGUGUCGGGGGUCGAACCUCGGUGCCGCAGCUAACGCAUUAAGUAUUCCGCCUGGGGAGUACGCACGCAAGUGUGAAACUCAAAUGAAUUGACGG
rnacentral:rRNA from 1 species